rnacentral:sRNA from 1 species
AGAUGCUGGGCCCAGACAAGCGCUCUUCCGCGAGCGUGCCGGGAUGAGCGGGGGCUGGACUUCUAGAAAGGGGUCUGCGGGCGCAGGAGCUGGGGUCGGCGGUCUGGGGCCGCCAACACAAGCCAUCAGCCCCAUGCUCAGCUCCCAGCAGGCAGAGGGUUCAGAAGCGCCAGUGCCAUCAGCUUGGGAGCCUGCAGUCCACACACCGCUGACCUUACCUACUUCCUCUUUCCAAGUUGAUAGAUUUUUUGUUCUUGGCUUCUCCACCUCCCCCACCCCUCCAUCUCUGGUUUGGCACAAAGUGGCCCCCUGGUUGGGGGUGAGCCAGCCAUCUCUGGGGGUUGAGUCUGGACUGUAGAGCUGUAGGUGCAGAUGUCCUCAGCCAGCCUGUCUUCCCUUUUCUCUUGCAGGUGGUAGAUUACAGACUCUCCUCUGGGAAAUUGCCCCCAGAUCUAACAGCAGUACAAGAAGCUGGGUAGAUUGGAAAACAGCAUCGAAUUCCCCUGAAACUGAGGUCUCCCCUAAUUCCCCUGAAACUGGGGUCU